rnacentral:lncRNA from 1 species
UGAAUCCUCAGUUGAAUCCUCAGUCAUCUUGCCAGCUUUAAACCAACCUACCUUGAAAUUAUAGCUGCUUGAGAAAUCUUCUUCAACCCGAAAGAAGCAGAAGAAGAGUGCCACCCGUCCCCUUCCUUUCUACGAUGGCGGACACUCGUACAUAAGGGGUAAAUCCGUGAUUUUACUAUACAAUACAUAAAAAGAGUCAAGAAUUGUUAGCAAAUGAAGGGUAAUUGCAUCAAUCAACUAACACUCUUUGAGUUUAAAUAAAAUGGCAGUAUGAGAUAACAAAAGGUUUUGAAGCAAGGCACCAUUUAUUAAACUUCGAAUCAUAUAAAAGAGAAACUUAACUCUCCUGAAAGAUGAAACUAAGGUUUUGAAGCAAGGCACCAUUUAUUAAACUUCGAAUCAUAUAAAAGAGAAACUUAACUCUCCUGAAAGAUGAAACUAUAGUAUUGUCCUCGUUGACUUAAUUAACUAAAUAAUCAGAAAAGCUAAGUAGCGUGUCAAAGAACCAUUUGAACGUUGAGCACACUUAUUAGUAGCCUAGAGACGGUAAAGCAGGUUUCCAUAUGAAGCAAAAGAGAAUUUCAAAACUACUUGAGCCGUCAUGAAUAAAAGCCUACACACACUGAGGGAAUAGCCAAAACUCUCAAUACCAUCUGCAUCCAUUUAUCAAAACGUUUUUUGUUUGUCCUAAUAAGCAAGCCUCAAAGGAAAAAUCUACAAUUAUUUACCUUGAGCACAAAGGACUUCGAAAGCUGUACACAAAAGCCCGAAGAAAUGUAGAGCAACAUCUCCUGAAACAAAAAACAGAAGCAGAUCAUACACUCAGACGACAAAUCUAAAUGAUAUGAACAGAACACCCAAAAUUACAUAAACAAAAUUCAUACGCAAAUUCCAUCUGAAUAUCGAAAGUUGUCAGCAAGAUUCUAUCGCCUAUGAAAAUAUCUCCAUCAUCAUCACAUUCAAAUCAACUUUAGUUAAUUGAAUUAACUUUAAUAAUUGUAAUAGGAAGUAAUGAUUAUGUCCAACCUUCGGGUCAACAUUUGUAGGCUAUAUCUGCAAAAAAGUACUAAAAAAAGUUUUAAAACAGCCAUACUAAAAAAGUAGAAAAACUCACCAACGAAUGCCAGACGUUAAAAAAAGGGACCCUGAUAAAAUCGAAAAACCAACAAAAUUCGUAUCAACUGAAGAUAUGAUAAGGUGUAAUAAUGAGGCUUCAUACCUUGUUAUAUACCUUGAGCACAAAGUGGUUCCAAUGUUGCAUACGAAAG